AUUGAAAUACUGGUUCUCAUAUGAUCAUUGAAGUUAAGCAAUGUCAAGCUUGGUCAGUACUUAGAUGGGUGACCACUUGGGAAUACCAGGUGCUGUAA